CCUGUGAACUUACCUAAACGUUGCUUCGGCGGGAAUAGACGGCCCUGUAAAACGGGCCGCCCCCGCCAGAGGACUCUUAACUCUGUUUCUUAUAAUGUUUCUUCUGAGUAAAACAAGCAAAUAAAUUAAAACUUUCAACAACGGAUCUCUUGGCUCUGGCAUCGAUGAAGAACGCAGCGAAAUGCGAUAAGUAAUGUGAAUUGCAGAAUUCAGUGAAUCAUCGAAUCUUUGAACGCACAUUGCGCCCGCCAGUAUUCUGGCGGGCAUGCCUGUUCGAGCGUCAUUACAACCCUCAGGCCCCCGGGCCUGGCGUUGGGGAUCGGCGGAGCGCCCCUCGUGGGCGCACGCCGUCCCCCAAAUACAGUGGCGGUCCCGCCGCAGCUUCCAUCGCGUAGUAGCUAACACCUCGCGACUGGAGAGCGGCGCGGCCACGCCGUAAAACACCCCAACUCUUCUGAAGUUGACCUCGAAUCAGGUAGGAAUACCCGCUGAACUUAAGCAUAUCAAUAA
rnacentral:rRNA from 1 species